rnacentral:tRNA from 1 species
AAUAAGGUGCCUGAUUAAAGGGCUAUCUUGAUAGGAUAGAUCAUGCAAUGAAAAUUGCCCUUAUUA